CACCAAUUCAUGAAAAACAGUAGUGACGAUGACUGCUGCUCCCCGGAAGCAUUGUCUGCGGAGGUAAACAGAAAGGUUUUAUUUGGUUGUUGUUUUCUACACAGCUGAGAUGAAUUCACCUUCUUAAUAUGCUAAAGCAUUUUUGUCCACAGGGAGCAGUAAUGAGCCAAAUGCUAUUUCAUUGCCCUCAACUCGAAUGCUUAUUCCCAUGGAAUACAUUGUAUACCAUUACAUCAAAGAGGAAGUUGUAGAUUUUUACUCCGUGUGCAAUUUUUUUUUCAAUUAAAGUUACUGAUGCUGGUAAUUUCUGCAGUAGACCCUGAAGGAGAAGCAGCCUAAGGUCAAUGUUUGCUCUCUUGGUUGAGCAGGUGUUACUGGGGAGGGGUGUCUCUUUUUUCCUUCAUGAAAGUAAAUCGAAAAGAAAAUCAAGACUCCAUGCAAAGAGACAUACUAGCCAAAUAGUCUCAGAACUCUAGCAAGUCUGCCUAAUCUUCAGACUCCAGAUGCUCAAAUAUGGUAAAACAUGAUUUCCCUUUCAUCAUUCUUUCCUUUUUCCCAUGGUCUGUUUCAUUGACUUUGAGUACUCAGUUUCAUAGUAUUCAAAUAAUGGUAACUUUGUUUCUAGAUCUGGGUCUAUAAAUAAUUAUAGUCUACAGUAUAGCAGGAUAGCUGAGAGGGAGUAUUUUUUGAUCCUUAUUUUUCAUCAUUUUUUUUAUUCCAGAGUUAAAAAACAUCAAUGACAUAAAAGAGCAAACAUCCAAUGACUGAAAAGGAGAAUGCUUUUUAACAAUGCCUAGGGCCAGUAAAAUUUCAAAGAUUGAUGUACCAGAGGGUGUUAACUGUAUUGUCAUAAUAGAAAAAUACUAACUAAAAAAAAUAAGAUUUGGAAUUAUGCUUUCUUGGAUUUGAAUUCUGGUUUUGCCACUAAUUACCAUGUGAUCUUGGAACUUUUACUUAAUGAUGCUAAGUCUUAAUUUUGCCUUUGGAAAGAAGGAUUUGUGAAUAUGUACUCCAUGGUUCUGAUGCUGCAGGACCAACUGUGGGGGCUGUGAAGGGCCAGGUGGCUGAGAGAUGAACAGGGUGCAUCUUGAAUGUGGGGAGCAGCCACAGACUCUUUCAGGCUUUUGACCAGUUGAGUACCAUACCUUCAGACCUGUAGAAAUGGAAAUGGAUCCCUUGAGACGGGCGCCCUGGGCAUUUGGUGUGUCGGGAGCAGCAGACCAUUUAUGAAUUUUUGGGAGCCAGCACCUGCGCCCUUCUGCUGACAGCUUCUCUUUCAUUGCUUGGGAAUUUGAACAGAUGAUUGGAUUCGGAAGAUGUGGUAUAUAUACACAAUGGAAUACUACUCAGCCAUAAAAAAGAAUGACAUAAUGCCAUUUGCAGCAACAUGGAUGGAACUAGAGACUCUCAUCCUGAGUGAAAUGAGCCAGAAAGACAAAGACAAAUACCAUAUGAUAUCACUUAUAACUGGAAUCUAAUAUCCAGCACAAAUGAACAUCUCCUCAGAAAAGAAAAUCAUGGACUUGGAGAAGAGACUUGUGGCUGCCUGAUGGGAGGGGAAGGAGUGGGAGGGAUCGGGAGCUUGGGCUUAUCAGAUACAACUUAGAAUAGAUUUACAAGGAGAUCCUGCUGAAUAGCAUUGAGAACUAUGUCUAGAUACUCAUGUUGCAACAGAAGAAAUGGUGGGGGAAAAAAUGUAAUUGUAAUGUAUACAUGUAAGGAUAACCUGACCCCCUUGCUGUACAGUG
rnacentral:lncRNA from 1 species